rnacentral:rRNA from 1 species
GUCUACGGCCAUACCACCCUGAGAACGCCCGAUCUUGUCUGAUCUCGGAAGUUAAGUAGGGUCGGGCCUGGUUAGUACUUGGAUGGGAGACCGCCUGGGAAUACCAGGUGCUGUAAGCU